GCCAGUUUGGCCGAGUGGUUAUGGCGGUAGUCCUGAGAACUACUAUCUUGAAAAAGAUGCGCAGGUUCGAUCCCUGUAGCUGGCA
rfam:Ophiostoma piceae TAMH 11346 chromosome Tnknown scf11, whole genome shotgun sequence.